UAGGGAAUAUUGCAAAAUGGGCGAAAGCCCGAUGCAGCAACGCCGCGUGGGCGAUGAAGGCCUUCGGGUCGUAAAGCCCUUUUUGAGGGGAUGAGGAAGGACAGUACCCUCAGAAUAAGCCUCGGCUAACUACGUGCCAGCAGCCGCGGUAAAACGUAGGAGGCGAGCGUUAUCCGGAUUUACUGGGCGUAAAGCGCAUGCAGGCGGAUUGGAGAGUUGGAUGUGAAAGCUCCCGGCUUAACUGGGAGAGGUCGUUCAAUACUUCCAGUCUUGAGUGCAGUAGAGGGAAGUGGAAUUCCGGGUGUAGUGGUGAAAUGCGUAGAUAUCCGGAGGAACACCAGUGGCGAAAGCGGCUUCCUGGACUGUAACUGACGCUCAGACGCGAAAGCUAGGGUAGCAAACG
rnacentral:rRNA from 1 species